rnacentral:rRNA from 1 species
CAUGCAAGUCGAACGAAACUUAGUGAACCUCGGUUUGCUAAGUUUAGUGGCGCACGGGUGCGUAACGCGUGGGAAUCUACCCCUAGCUGCGGAAUAACUCAGAGAAAUUUGAGCUAAUACCGCAUAAUGUCGCAAGACCAAAGAUUUAUCGGCAAGGGAUGAGCCCGCGUAAGAUUAGCUUGUUGGUGAGGUAAAAGCUCACCAAGGCGACGAUCUUUAGCUGGUCUGAGAGGAUGAUCAGCCACACUGGGACUGAGACACGGCCCAGACUCCUACGGGAGGCAGCAGUGGGGAAUAUUGGACAAUGGGCGCAAGCCUGAUCCAGCAAUGCCGCGUGAGCGAUGAAGGCCCUAGGGUUGUAAAGCUCUUUUACUAGGGAUGAUAAUGACAGUACCUAGAGAAUAAGCUCCGGCUAACUCCGUGCCAGCAGCCGCGGUAAUACGGAGGGAGCUAGCGUUGUUCGGAAUUACUGGGCGUAAAGCGCGCGUAGGCGGCUCGUCAAGUCAGGGGUGAAAGCCCGGGGCUCAACCCCGGAACUGCCUUUGAAACUAGCGAGCUAGAAUCUUGUAGAGGUUAGCGGAAUUCCGAGUGUAGAGGUGA